UUAAUACUCCCUCCGUCCCAUAAUACGUGCCACUAAAAUGGAUAAAAAUGAAUGUAUCUAAAAUUAAAAUACGUCUAGAUAUAUCUAUUUUUAUCCAUUUUGAUGACAAGUAUUUCCGGACGAAGAGAGUAUCUA
rfam:Triticum aestivum genome assembly, contig: Triticum_aestivum_CS42_TGACv1_scaffold_592784_7BS